rnacentral:rRNA from 1 species
AGCUCCAAUAGCGUAUAUUAAAGUUGUUGCAGUUAAAAAGCUCGUAGUUGGAUUUCUGGCAGAGUGUCCUUUGGCCAGCAUGACGUUUGGUCCAGAGCGCUCUACCAUCCUUCUGUCAACCUUUGCGGGCUUCACUGCCCGCUCUGGGGCUCAGAUAUUUUACCUUGAGAAAAUUAGAGUGUUUCAGGCAGGCUGCCGCCGGAAUACAUUAGCAUGGAAUAAUGGAAAAGGACUUCAACCUCUUCUGUUGGUCUGAGAGGCUGGCGUAAUGAUUAAUAGGGAUAGUUGGGGGGCAUUAGUACUUAACUGUCAGAGGUGAAAUUCUCCGAUUUGUUAAAGACUAACUUAUG